ACAUUUUGUAAUGCCGUUCAGUAUGAGAAGCGUUCCCGUUCGGAAAGUAUCUGAGUAAAUUAUCGUGACUUGUGUAAUCAAAAGCAGAUGUUACUCCUCAGGACAAACUUGAAAUCCCAAUUGGCAUGACUGGAGUUUUCAAGACCUCAAAUCCAAAUUUUUUUCGAUGACCCAGUUUAUUAGUGACUUUUGUAAUCAAGUGCUGAUGUCUUCAAUUAGGAGUUACCCCUCAGGAUAAACUUAAAGUCCCAAUUGGAAUGACUGGAGUUUUGAAGACCUCAAAUCUUGCUUUGAUAAUUACAGCACUGCUGGCUCAUUUGUACAUUUCAUAAGUACCUUAUGAAAUGUUCCAAUGGUCGGGCAAAGCUAUUACUGGUCCAUGUUUUGGAUAGAAGUAAUUCUAAGAAAAGGAAAUCUGCCAGUUACCAUUCUCACUAUGUAACAGUUGGAACAAGAAUUUUAAGCAAGCCGAUUACUUAAUUAUAUUAAGAAUUAUUCAGCAAAUGUUUUGAUAAUAACCGCUUAUACCGCACAUAAACUACCUAUUUAUGUUGCAUUUAAUGCCGGUAAACAUAAAAGCCAAAAGCUAAAGAGCUAGAA
rnacentral:sRNA from 1 species